CACGCGGGCUCCGGGGAAGGAGCCCAGCCUCACGGCAGCCCCAGGCCUGCGGGCAAACAGGAAGCUUUGGUACACGCCCUCUGGCCACGGGCCAGCAGCCCAGCUUGAAACUGGUGGGAAGAAUGGCAGGAGGCGAGGCCAGCAAAGCCCUGCCGAGGGGCCCUGACCUGCGUUUCUGGAAGAACACCGAAGCACGAUGCCUCUGACCUCGAUCCAGGCGCCAGGGUCAGCACCUCACGCACUCCCAGCUUCGUCCCCCGCCCUCCGGGCAAAAGAAGAAACCGAGGCCCCAGGACAAUAACAGACGAGAGCCAAAGCCAAGGGCAAAAGCUGGUUUCAACCUACUGAUACAACUGAGAUUGGAGAUGGGGCGAGAUGCUGAAAGGUCACCAUCAUACAGUAUUGCUGCCGUACAAUCACAGCUGAUGCCAAAACCCUCAAGGGCAUAGAUGACAGCAAAAUGGGGUAAAGCUCCUGGGAUGAAGACCCUAAGAUACAUAUAUCUUUGGCCUCUGGAAAUAUUGAAAAAAUUAAAAAGGAUAUUCAGAAGUGGCACCUUAUGAUGUAUCUCUCUCCAACACCUGUCAACAAGAGUGACACUUGCCGAACCCUCUUCCUAGCCAUCAGAAAGGAGCAUUUUGCUGCUGAGACUGUGAUGAUGGAGGACCCGCAAAGGAAACACACUCUUCACGGCUGUUGGAGGGGUACUGGAAUCAGAGGCAACAGUCUGGGUCUUAGCCCCGCGGCUCUGUUACAAGGAGACCUUGGUCCAAACGUACAAGCUCGCCUGUGCCUCACUUUUCUCAUCUGACAGAAGGCAAUUAAAAAAAAAAAAAAAAAAAGAAGAAGAAGCAACCACUGUCCCAUCUAUCUCACUGUGAGCUUGCCCUGAAAAGUAGAAGGCUGGUUCUUACUCUCACUAUUAUUUAUAGCUUUCUGGCUUUCUUCACCUGGACAGAUUACCUGAAGUUUCCUCACCUCCUCCUCUAAAAGUGCAGCGCCAUAAAUUUCACGGAUAUAAAAACAAUCUGGCCUGACAUGACUGAACAGGACUUAGACGUUGAACAGAUUUAGGACCCGGCGUUCUCGUGCUCUGGACCCGGUAAUUACAGUGAAUUCACUGUAAACCACGGGGUAGCAUACUUGCCACGAGCAUCCUAGUAAGUGACAUAGAAUUAUAGGCCUGGAAGAGGCCUUGGAAAUCAUCUUGUCCAGCCCUUUCAUUUUACAGAUGACGAAACUGAGGCCCAGGAAGGUUAAGAGGCUUGCCUGUGGUGUAGACCAGCAGCUCAUGAUGACACUGGAUUAGGAUCCGGAUUCCCAGUUCCCUCGUUUUGUGGUCUCUGUUGUUGUAAAGCCACCCACUGACCUUACACGAUUCGGGUGAAGAGAUGAGCCAAGGCAAACACUCACUGGGAGACCCUUCCACAGUCCCGGCCCACUUCUGCUGUCCCACACGCAUCUGUCACUCAAUAGUAGCGGGAAUCCGUAUGUUUUCCCGGAAGUGUCCCCCAGUAGGUCGAGCUGCUGAUGUCUCCCCAGUGAUGUCAUCUGUUCCUCGGGGGCGGACACAGCGCUGAGCUGGUGAAGACCACAGGCGUGAACUCUGAGGGUCCUGGAUGGGAGUCUUGCUUCCAGUCCCUCGGAGUUGGGAUCCUGGGGAAGCCUAAUCUCUUUCUGAGCAAUUUUCCUUAGCUGGAAGAUGACAUAAUAUCUCUGAAAACACUUUGUAAAUUGUAAAGUGUAACAUAAAUAUUGGUGCUUAUGGCCUUAAAAUCCCAGCAAAACCCAGCGUGUGGCAAGCUGCACAAGUGACCCUUGCUUAAUAAUUCUGGUCCGUUUGGUACGCACCAGGGGAAACCCAGGCUUACUUCUCCCUGUUGGUACCCACAGAAGGGUUUUUUCUCCUUUCUCAUAUUUUGAGAGUCUCUCCUUUGCUUCUAGCCACUUGCCCCUUUUCCAUUACUGAUGGAAAUUUUUUUCCUAUGCCCUGCAAUGACCUGGCUUCAUAUUUUCAGUAAUCAAGACUCGCCAGUCGUUCAAGGCUCACUGGGGAGGCAGGCACGCCCCCUGCACAUCUGGAGUGACAC